UCAAGUAGUCUGCACCAAGGCUGCACUCCGCAUCCAUACCGCAUCUCUGUGGGUUACGGAAUCUAAACUACAACUGUUGCUGACUUAUUUGGAGACGUUGUUUUAAACUUUGUCAUCAAUGCAAAGCACCGCUUGGACAUUUCUCCCACAACGGCAGCCUGUAAAAUAAUGUCACAACAUGGAUAAUGGAAGCAGUGUGUGUCGGCACCAGCCAGUCAGUGAGUCAUCCAAGGUGUUCUUUUGGGCAGAUCAAGCAGUGGAAUUGUUGCAGGGCCUCAAUGAGCAGCGACAACACAGCCGCUUCUGUGAUGUGGUGCUGGUGGCUGAUGAGCAGUGCAUCCAUGCUCACAGAGCUUUGCUGGCCAUCUCCAGCCCUUACUUUCAUGCCAUGUUCACACUGGGCAUGAGAGAGGAGCAGCAACGAAAGGUGGAGCUGUUGGGUUUGUCAUAUGUUGGUCUGAAAGCAGUAUUGGACUUCCUUUACAGUGGAGAGCUUCCAUUGGAUGGUGGGAAUGUUGAUUCUGUGCUGGAAGCUGCUCACCUCUUGCAGGUGUGGCAAGUGGUGGAUUUCUGCUGCCAGUAUCUGGAGCGGGAGGUGAGCGAAGACAACUACCUGUAUCUGCAGGAGCUGGCGCAGCUCUACAACCUACAGCGCCUCGACACCUUCGUCGACGACUUCAUCCUCACACACUUGGCUAGCCUCUCCAUCACCCCUGACUUUCUUCGUGACAUCCCUUUGCACAAGCUCGCCGCCUACCUCUCCAGGAACCACGUCCAUCACAAUGGUGAGCAGGAGCUGCUUGACACGGCUCUGCGUUGGCUGGGUCAAACUCCUGAGCGGACAACCCAUGCCCAACAACUCCUAUCCCACAUCCGCUUCCCACUGAUGCCAGUUGGGGACCUGGUGAGCCGGGUGCUACCAGCACUGCAAGCACUUUUGCCAGAGGAUGCCAGUUGCAAGGCCCUGGCGGAGGAAGCAUUGGCGUACCACAGAGCCGAGAACCAAAGCAGGCAACCACUUCUGCAAACGGAACACACCGUGUUGAGGGGAGGAGUAGAAUGCCUUCUACUGACUGGUGGAGAGGUGUCAGAGCGAGGAGAGGAGCUCAGUGCUAAUGUUUGCCGGCUAAAUGGUGACGAUUGGGAGAUAGAAACCGAGCUUCCAGCCCAGCAAAGCCACCACUGCCUGGCCGUGCUCGGAGGUUUUAUCUUUGCUGCAGGUGGCAGUUUGUCCAGGGACAACGUUGGAGAUGCUGCAUGUAACCAGCUGUACAGAUAUGAUCCCCGCCACAACCAGUGGACCAACGGCGCUCCAAUGAAUACACCCCGGGUGGAUUUUUACCUUGCAGCAGUGGGGGACUGCUUGAUUGCCGUGGGUGGAAGGAAUGGCUUGGGAACGUUGUCCUCUGUGGAGCGAUACUGCCCUGCUGACGACUGCUGGUCCUUUGUGGCAGGACUGCCAAGGUUGACAUACGGCCAUGCUGGCGCGGUUCACCACGGUGUGGUCUACAUUUCCGGUGGACACGAUUAUCAGAUCGGACCGUACCGUAAAGAUGUCUUGUAUUAUGAUCCAUCACGGGAUGUUGAUGCGUGGGUUGAAUGCCCAGCCAUGUCUUUGGCUCGGGGCUGGCACUGUAUGGCCUCCAUCAACAACCUCAUCUACGCCAUCGGGGGUAGCAAUGACCACGAGGUUACCGAUGAACGCUUUGACAUCCUUCAGGUGGAGUCCUACAACCCACGCAGCCGCCAGUGGACGCAGGUGGCACCACUCUUGUUGCCAAAUAGCGAGGCGGGUCUUGCAGUUUGGGCUGGGAAGGUUUACGUACUUGGUGGCUACAGCUGGGAAACCAUGACCUUCUCCAGGACCACUCAAGUGUAUGAUCCUAAUAAAGAUGUGUGGUCCAGAGGGCCGGACUUACCCAAACGCAUCGCGGGGGCCUCUGCUUGUGUGUGCACCAUUAAGCCCCCUUUGACAUCGCUGUCUCCAGAGGGGAACGAAAGAUCGUCCAACCAAGUUGAGAGAUCAUCAAGAACUUUGUCCAAAAAUGUCAAGGCCUGACUUGUGGCUGACAUAUAUAGUGUAUGUCUUUGUCUCCUCCACAUGCAUCCUUCUGUCUCCCAGAAGCAGUGCAACACAGGACACAAGAAGCUGUAGUUGUAAUGUCAUGUAAUUUAAUGGUAUUCAUUUAUUUAUUGUGUGUUCUGUACAAAACAAAGACAAGCACUGCAUCAAAUCAUCCAUUCUGCACACCAUUUGCGAUAUACAGUCGUCCAUCGCUGCAUUGCGUUUUUUCAAACAAUUAAUAAAUGAUCGCUGUUUUGUAGGGGUGCAAGGAUACACAAAAUUCACGGUUCAGUUCAAUACAUUGGUGUUACGGUUCGAUACUUUUUCGAUACAAAAAAUAAAUUACCUUGCCCUUUUUUAAUUUUAAUUUGAUUGAAAUUGCCAAGAUUUUUCCCAUUUUUCAACAUUUUCAGAAUGGUAUUAAUGUGGGAGGCGGAGCUCAGUGACUCUGUGCUUGACAGUGCAAACCAAGCCAGGGUAGUCGAUCACAAAUACGCUGAGCUUUCAUCACAGAGCGCCGUCAGAAGUUGAUAAAAUAAAUAAACUGCGUAUUAUUCGAUACAGGGGCCACGGUUCGGUACACGUGUAUUGAACGGUUCCAUACAAAUAUACGUAUUGUUGCACCCCUACUGUUUUGUAGUUGACUCUGGCAUAUUAUUGUUUAAGCAAAUUGUUCAUAUUUUUUUGCCCAAAUUAAGCAUUUUCAACCAUAAAAAUGGCUAAAUGCACUAAAAUACAACUAUUUUAUGAGCCACUAAGACCUCAACUUGUGAGUGAAGUGCUCUACAUUGGUCACUAGGUGUCAGUAAUUGUGCGGUGAGACGACCACUAAAAGCACCAGACUUGAACAACAGGCACAACAAUAACAUAAUUCUCAUAACAAUAACACUGUUUACUGUUGCGGCAAUAGCCGACAACAAGCUUAAAUCUCAACUCUGAACCCCCGAGGUAUAUCAAUUCUGCUCCCCUACAAGUUAUUUUCUCUGAUUAUAUCUACUUUUUGGGUAAUACAGUACGGAUGUAAAAGUGACUAUAUGGGUGUUAUUUCAUGCCUAGAUGGCUCUAAUAAUGUUUAAAAAAAAACAUUUAGUGCCAUAAGAAAGAAAAUAUUCCAUUUCUAAAGAAAGAGUCCUACUUUAACUCACUUAUCACGGUUGAGUCUGGAAGCAGUUAACCGUGAUAAACUAGGGAUUUCUGUAAUGCCAUCCUUUUCAUCAUUUUGUUUCUUUGAAGCAACCAACUUUUCCUUCCAGUCUAUCCAUUUGUUUACGAAGUGAAGCGUUUUCAUUCUUCAAUGCUUAUGUCGACUUCGACGGGUUCCACUGCAUACUGUAUGUACAAGUAUGUACCCUGAUGGACAGUUUUGAUAGAAUUUUGUUUAGGCUCACAUAUGCCUGCUAAUUGAUUCAGUCGACCACCAUCUAUUUGAAUUGAUUGACUGCCCUGACUGGUAUUAACAACCUUGUAUUAAUAACCACCUCACAUUAAGUCAAAUGUUCUAGUGUUGCCGGGAGAUUACAAUAUUAUAUGUUAAGUAAAGUAUCAUUUUACAGAUCACCUUUCAAAGUCCAAUGUGCAUUUUUCCAGGAGAGGAGAGAAAUUUUGGGACAAAAGUCGGUUUAUAGAAUCAGUAAUAUACACUCCCAAAUAUUUAAGUCCGUCUAUGGCAUAUUUGAAAGAAAAGAAAGAAUGUGGUAUAUUUUUGGCACAAAAAUUGAGGGGGAGGAGUUGGCUUUUGUGGAGAUUGAGUUUGUAACCAGAGUAGGACCCAAAGAUUGUAAAUGACAUGUUUACGUUCUUUAUGCUCAGUUAUUCACUCAUUUAUUUUGAAGAAUGUAGUCCUGCCACCGGAUGUUGGCAUGCUCUUAUUUUGGCGGAACGUUUUUUUUUCUUUUCCUGUGUCAAAAGGUUAACUUCGCUAAUGGUGAUUGCAACCCCACGCAAAAAGUGCUCACAUAUUUUCUCAGUUUCAACCUGGCUGGUGGUAGGCUAAUGUGGAAGACUACCUCGUGUUUAAGCUAGCGCCCUUGGAAGGCGAAAUGAGUUUUCACGGUGCUUAUGGUGCUUAUGGUGCUUAUGGUGCUCAAGGUGCAAGAACUGAGCCGGAAGAAUAAAGGCACCCGUUUGAAACUCCACGUCUGACUAAUUCAUUCCAAGAGGCCGCUACAAAGAUUUCAAGAACCAGCAUGUAAUGACAAUCGACAAUUACACUGAACUUUUCCAGCUCGGUUAAUAACCUCAAACCCACUCUCUUGACGCAGCCAGAUGGCUCAAGGCUCAAUUUCUAUGGCAAAUAAAAGGGGGGAAAGAGGGCAACCGAAAAGAGGAAAUGAGACUGAGGCUAUGAACCUGUGUAGAGCAAUUUGUAAAACAAAAAAAGAGGAAGUGCCACUGCACUUUUAUCGAAGGCGUUCUCCGCGUCCAAUGACAAUCACCUCUGGUGGAUUCAAACUAGGUGAGCAGAUGAUCUUUAAGGGCCUCCUCGUAUUGUGAAAGGAGUGCCUUCCAAGCAUAAAUCUGCUUUGAACAGGUGAUUAUAACACUUGGUUAGACCCGUUGUAAGCGUGGGGCUAGAACGAAUUUCGAAAGAAUUUUCAGAUCAACAUUCAAAAGGGGACUCGGCCGGUAUGCUGCCGCACACAAGCGGGUCCUUGCCAUAAGCAGGAGAGAAUUGAUUUUUUUAUUUAGGCUUUACUUAUCCAGGUAAGGUAGUUGACCUGGCCGAGAGGCAUCAGACAGAAGUAAAAAAAAGCAAAAUAAUAGUAAAUACAGGUGGGCAGACGUUGUCUAUGUCCUAUGUACAGUGUGAUUUAGUUACCUCAUAGCACCUGAAUAAAAAAAAUAAAAGUUCAAAAACAGGUGCAACGGUCAUGCACAAUUUCCCAACUUUUUAAAUGAUGAUAAAGUCCAAAUAUUAAGAGAAAAAUAGUAAUAUUGAAACAACAAAAUUUGCAAUUUUAUGGGAAUAAACUUUUAAUAUGAUGAGGAAAAAAUGUCAUUUUCGAGCAUAGAGUUGAAAUACUAAAAUGUUUUUAUUUUUGAAAAAGUCUAACUAUAAUGCAAAACAAACCAAACAAAAUAAUGUUAGAAUUUUUGGGAAAUCCUGCAUAAUUCGGAAGAUGCCGUGGAUUUACUCGUCAAAAUGGAGGGCCCUCCAUCCUCGUUCCAAUCCCCGCAGUACUCUCAUGUCUUCUUGGCUCAGACAGAAGUCAAAGAUCUGUGCAGAACAACACCAGUAUGGAGAGCUUUUAAAAACAGCGCAGCAAUACUCAUGUUGAAAAGAUGCAUCAUGAACCAUUAUGCCUGGAACUUCAUUACCCAUAAUCCUACCUUCAACCCUUUUGACUUUAUUAUGUUGUAUACAGUGGUGCGAAAAAGUGUUUGCCUCCUUCCUGAUUUAUUUUUUUU